CCAAUCAAACCGGGAGAUAGCUGGUUCUCCCCGAAAGCUAUUUAGGUAGCGCCUCGUGAACUCAUCUCCGGGGGUAGAGCACUGUUUCGGCUAGGGGGCCAUCCCGGCUUACCAACCCGAUGCAAACUGCGAAUACCGGAGAAUGUUAUCACGGGAGACACACGGCGGGUGCUAACGUCCGUCGUGAAGAGGGAAACAACCCAGACCGCCAGCUAAGGUCCCAAAGUCAUGGUUAAGUGGGAAACGAUGUGGGAAGGCCCAGACAGCCAGGAUGUUGGCUUAGAAGCAGCCAUCAUUUAAAGAAAGCGUAAUAGCUCACUGGUCGAGUCGGCCUGCGCGGAAGAUGUAACGGGGCUAAACCAUGCACCGAAGCUGCGGCAGCGACGCUGAUGCGUUGUUGGGUAGGGGAGCGUUCUGUAAGCCUGCGAAGGUGGCCUGUGAGGGUUGCUGGAGGUAUCAGAAGUGCGAAUGCUGACAUAAGUAACGAUAAAGCGGGUGAAAAGCCCGCUCGCCGGAAGACCAAGGGUUCCUGUCCAACGUUAAUCGGGGCAGGGUGAGUCGACCCCUAAGGCGAGGCCGAAAGGCGUAGUCGAUGGGAAACGGGUUAAUAUUCCCGUACUUGGUGUUACUGCGAAGGGGGGACGGAGAAGGCUAUGUUGGCCGGGCGACGGUUGUCCCGGUUUAAGCGUGUAGGUGUGUGUUCCAGGUAAAUCCGGUUCACUUUAACACUGAGGCGUGAUGACGAGGCACUACGGUGCUGAAGCAACAAAUGCCCUGCUUCCAGGAAAAGCCUCUAAGCAUCAGGUAACAUCAAAUCGUACCCCAAACCGACACAGGUGGUCAGGUAGAGAAUACCAAGGCGCUUGAGAGAACUCGGGUGAAGGAACUAGGCAAAAUGGUGCCGUAACUUCGGGAGAAGGCACGCUGACACGUAGGUGAAGUGAUUUACUCAUGGAGCUGAAGUCAGUCGAAGAUACCAGCUGGCUGCAACUGUUUAUUAAAAACACAGCACUGUGCAAACACGAAAGUGGACGUAUACGGUGUGACGCCUGCCCGGUGCCGGAAGGUUAAUUGAUGGGGUCAGCGCAAGCGAAGCUCCUGAUCGAAGCCCCGGUAAACGGCGGCCGUAACUAUAACGGUCCUAAGGUAGCGAAAUUCCUUGUCGGGUAAGUUCCGACCUGCACGAAUGGCGUAAUGAUGGCCAGGCUGUCUCCACCCGAGACUCAGUGAAAUUGAACUCGCUGUGAAGAUGCAGUGUACCCGCGGCAAGACGGAAAGACCCCGUGAACCUUUACUAUAGCUUGACACUGAACAUUGAGCCUUGAUGUGUAGGAUAGGUGGGAGGCUUUGAAGUGUGGACGCCAGUCUGCAUGGAGCCGACCUUGAAAUACCACCCUUUAAUGUUUGAUGUUCUAACGUGGACCCGUGAUCCGGGUUGCGGACAGUGUCUGGUGGGUAGUUUGACUGGGGCGGUCUCCUCCUAAAGAGUAACGGAGGAGCACGAAGGUUGGCUAAUCCUGGUCGGACAUCAGGAGGUUAGUGCAAUGGCAUAAGCCAGCUUGACUGCGAGCGUGACGGCGCGAGCAGGUGCGAAAGCAGGUCAUAGUGAUCCGGUGGUUCUGAAUGGAAGGGCCAUCGCUCAACGGAUAAAAGGUACUCCGGGGAUAACAGGCUGAUACCGCCCAAGAGUUCAUAUCGACGGCGGUGUUUGGCACCUCGAUGUCGGCUCAUCACAUCCUGGGGCUGAAGUAGGUCCCAAGGGUAUGGCUGUUCGCCAUUUAAAGUGGUACGCGAGCUGGGUUUAGAACGUCGUGAGACAGUUCGGUCCCUAUCUGCCGUGGGCGCUGGAGAACUGAGGGGGGCUGCUCCUAGUACGAGAGGACCGGAGUGGACGCAUCACUGGUGUUCGGGUUGUCAUGCCAAUGGCACUGCCCGGUAGCUAAAUGCGGAAGAGAUAAGUGCUGAAAGCAUCUAAGCACGAAACUUGCCCCGAGAUGAGUUCUCCCUGAGACUUUAGGUCUCCUGAAGGAACGUUGAAGACGACGACGUUGAUAGGCCGGGUGUGUAAGCGCAGCGAUGCGUUGAGCUAACCGGUACUAAUGAACCGUGAGGCUUAACCUUACA
rnacentral:rRNA from 1 species